AUGCCACGAUGCGGGGACGUGUUUGUGCCAUACCCGUUCGGCAUUGGCCCAAACGUCAACUGCUACCUACCGGGGUUCAACCUCACGUGUGACACGAAACAUCAACCCCCGCAACUGCUCCAUGGCAAUGGCCAGUUCCGGGUCGUCGAUAUCCCUCUUGACGACACCACGGUGCGCAUCAUGCCCAGCUCGGCGGUCAGUGCCCACGAGGUCACUGGAGUGCUCGGUCGAUUCCCUUCCUAUUUCGACAGGGACAUGCCCUACGCUCUGUCCACGAGCAACGAGCUCGUCCUGACAGGGUGCAAUGCGCAAGCAACGCUGUUGGGGCACGGUAAUCCCGCCGUCAUCAGCACAUGCGCCUCCUUGUGUCCCCGCAACGAGACCGCCGGCACGGCCGGUACGGUCUUCGCGGAUCAGGGGUGGCCAACGGAUGGUAUCCAUGGUAGAAACCGCAGCGGCAAGUACUGCUACGGCAUGGGAUGCUGCCAGGCACGCAUCUCCGAGUCCAUGGAUGGAAUGCACAAGGAGUUGCGCUUCAAAUGGUUUGACAACAAGGAAUUUCCCCAGCACAUGUCCAUCGCAGAGGAGGGAUGGUUUGAUAAGCCAGGCGUCGCCAGCUGGCCCCACCCUCUCUCCCCUCCCACCCCCACCGCACACACCCCCACCCCACCCAAACCCUUAGCCUUGCGCCCCUCCUCUCUUCCCCUCUCCCCCCAUCUCAAAUCCUUAUCAAAUCUUGCAUAUCCGGAGUAUUUGACCGUGGAUUUCGAAGCCAACCCCUCCUUUAAGGUAAUCUCCUCCGAUCCCCUCGUUUUCAUCCAUAGGAAUUGGAUGGGGAGAACAUGUGUUUAUGUUCAUCAUGUGGAUAAAGAGGCCUUUUUGAAAGAUAAUGCUGAGCCAGACCUGGAUGAGCUUGACAUGGUGUUUGAGAGUAGUCCUAGCUAUGCGGAGCUCUUGGAACAAAUGAGGAAUGAUUUGAAUUGGAUGGACCCAAGUGACGUUGUUGAGUUCGAGGGAAGGCAUAAUGUUGGUUUUGGAAUGCACAUCCAUUGGAAGACAAUGCGUGUGAACUCCGAGCAACGUUCGGUUGCAUACAAGGAGACGGUUGCCGAAUCUCUAGAGAAGGCUCUUGAGUUAUAUGCCUCCAAGAAGGUUGAGUCUACUUUGAAUUUGGACUUGAACCGGAACCCCUCCCCGUUGGUUGCUAGCAGUCCCCCACCCAUGAACCAAGAUCAAAUGAACAAUGGACCAAUCCAUCCCUUUUCCCGUGCAUAUGCAUCAGACUCCGAUGAUGAUGGUCCCGAUGAAGAAGUUGAUGAGGAGGGGUUCACGCCCAAGGAGGCCCAAGCAUUCAAGAAGAUAUUCGGGCGGGAUCAGAAGACACCAUUGUUCAAGGAUCUUAGUCUCGCGGAUGAAGCCAUUGUGGAUGGUGGCAAAUGCAUAUCUCUUGGAGCUAGGCCAAGUUCUCAUCGUGAUUUGGAAGACGGCAAGAACGGGAUAUAUCCCGGUUGUGAGUUUCAAUCCUUCUUGGAAUUGAAGAUGUGA
rnacentral:rRNA from 1 species